rnacentral:rRNA from 1 species
GAGGAAUAUUGGUCAAUGGGCGCAAGCCUGAACCAGCCAUCCCGCGUGCAGGAAGACGGCGCUAUGCGUUGUAAACUGCUUUUCCAGGGAGAGAAACUUGCGCACGUGUUGCGCAAUUGACGGUACCCUGGGAAUAAGCAUCGGCUAACUCCGUGCCAGCAGCCGCGGUAAUACGGAGGGUGCGAGCGUUAUCCGGAUUCAUUGGGUUUAAAGGGUGCGUAGGCGGACUAUUAAGUCAGUGGUGAAAUCCUGCAGCUUAACUGCGGAACUGCCAUUGAUACUGAUAGCCUUGAGUUUGGUUAAGGUAGGCGGAAUGUGUAAUGUAGCGGUGAAAUGCUUAGAUAUUACACAGAACACCAAUUGCGUAGGCAGCUUACUGAGCCGACACUGACGCUGAGGCACGAAAGCGUGGGGAUCGAACAG